ACAAGCAUUAUACGGCGAAACUGCGAAUGGCUCAUUCUAUAAGUUAUCGUUUAUUUGAUAGCACAUUACUACUUGGAUAACCGUGGUAAUUCUAGAGCUAAUACACGCUAAAAAUCCCGACUUCGGAAGGGAUGUAUUUAUUAGAUUAAAAACCAAUGCCCUCUGGGCUCUCUGGUGAAUCAUGAUAACUGCUCGAAUCGCAGGGCCUCGUGCCGGCGAUGGUUCAUUCAAAUUUCUUCCCUAUCAACUUUCGAUGUUUGGGUAUUGGCCAAACAUGGUUACAACGGGUAACGGAGGGUUAGGGCUCGACCCCGGAGAAGGAGCCUGAGAGACGGCUACUACAUCCAAGGAAGGCAGCAGGCGCGCAAAUUACCCAAUCCCGACACGGGGAGGUAGUGACAAUAAAUACUGAUACAGGGCUCUUUCGGGUCUUGUAAUUGGAAUGAGUACAAUUUAAAUCCCUUAACGAGGAACAAUUGGAGGGCAAGUCUGGCC
rnacentral:rRNA from 2 species